rnacentral:rRNA from 1 species
UUCCUACGGGGGGCAGCAGUAGGGAAUUUUCGUCAAUGGGCGCAAGCCUGAACGAGCAAUGCCGCGUGAGGGAGGAAGGUACAGAGUAUCGUAAACCUCUUUUGUCAGGGAACAAAGGCGGGGACGUGUCCCCGGAUGAGUGUACCUGAAGAAAAAGCAUCGGCUAACUCCGUGCCAGCAGCCGCGGUAAUACGGAGGAUGCGAGCGUUAUCCGGAUUUAUUGGGUUUAAAGGGUGCGCAGGCGGUCUGUUAAGUCAGCGGUCAAAGCCCGGGGCUCAACCCCGGCCCGCCGCUGAAACUGGCAG